UGUAUGUUUGGUGUAGAAAUGAGCCAUUUAUCAUUUCUACAAAUAACGAGUAACUCAUAGUGCCAACAACUCUAUUAUGAAACGCCCACAGCACGGAAAACAUCUAAGAACAAAACCAAAGAUGUCUGGGUGCAUCGUUUCCUUCAUUUACGUGAAUCUGUUUGCUCUCUUCAAAAGAGAGCCUGGUCUUCGCUUUGAGGGGAGAGGCUGCACGCACAGCGAGACAGUUCACCGCACAGCACAGAGCAAGUUUUCUUCCCAUACUGCUCAAAAUCUAAAACCCAUAAUGGCCCACUGGGACUGGAAAGUUGUGCCAGUAAAAGCGCCAGUGAGCGCUGAACCUGGGCUUCAGAGAGGAGGAAGAUGAGUGAGCAGUGACCUAGACUGCAGAGCCACGAUGGACACUGUCCACCACUCAUCCCCCAGAUACACUGGAGUUCUUACUGAAUAUCACACAAUUAUCGAUUGAAGAGCAAAAAUAAGAUUGUUUUAGUAAAUUGUUACCUUUAAAAAAAGGUUUAAAAAAUGUUGAAUAAAUGAGGAUAUACAAG
rnacentral:lncRNA from 1 species